GCCGGGGUAGCUCAGCCUGGUUAGAGUGCCAGUCUCCAGAUCUGGAGGUCGUGGGUUCAAAACCCACCCCCGGCA
rnacentral:tRNA from 2 species